AUCCAGCUAACGAGUCCCAGAUAAGAAGAAACGCGCGUCCUGGAU
rfam:Schistosoma curassoni strain Dakar, Senegal genome assembly, scaffold: SCTD_scaffold0002317